rnacentral:ncRNA from 1 species
AAACCGAAAGGGCAAACUUGCUGAAAAGUAAGGACGCAAAGCUACGGGUCUAAGGGUACGUUUACUAUGAUCGCCGAGCCGCCGAA